AUUUUUUGUUUUUCUUUAGCUUCUUCAUCUUCAUCAGAUAUUUAUGGAAGAGUUGACCUAAUAUGCUCUGUAAAGUAUUUUAAUAAACCUAAUGGUUGUGAGCAGAACAGCAUCAUCUGGGUGGAUGAAACCGGAUCUCAGCUGACUGAUGAAGGUCUUGGGUUUGAAGUUAGAGGACAAACAAACUGCGUUUCCCUUCUGGUUUUGAAACAUCAGAGUGGAAACAACAAACGAUUCACCUGCCAGUUUGUUGAGAACAACAAAGUGAAGAUAGAGGCCGUCUAUGUUGCAAACUUUUCAGAUCCUUCCACUGCAGAUCUUCUUGGUCAUAUCUUCAUCAUCUUCAUCAUCAUUGCAGCCGUGGUGAAGGUGUCGAUAUUUUUGGGUGUGGUUGCUGCUCUGGUCUACAUCCAUAGAAGGAGAAGCAACAUUAAUGAGGACCAGGGAACCAGAACAAAAAGAGACAUCAAAGAUGAUUUUGAAAACACAAUGUGAAGAAGAGAAGAGAAGAGAACUUCAGAAAAAAGAAUAAAAACUUGUAUUUCAC